GAUGAACGCUGGCGGCGUGCCUAAUACAUGCAAGUCGAGCGAACGGACGAGAAGCUUGCUUCCCUGAUGUUAGCGGCGGACGGGUGAGUAACACGUGGAUAACCUACCUAUAAGACUGGGAUAACUUCGGGAAACCGGAGCUAAUACCGGAUAAUAUUUUGAACCGCAUGGUUCAAAAGUGAAAGACGGUCUUGCUGUCACUUAUAGAUGGAUCCGCGCUGCAUUAGCUAGUUGGUAAGGUAACGGCUUACCAAGGCAACGAUGCAUAGCCGACCUGAGAGGGUGAUCGGCCACACUGGAAUUGAGACACGGUCCAGACUCCUACGGGAGGCAGCAGUAGGGAAUCUUCCGCAAUGGGCGAAAGCCUGACGGAGCAACGCCGCGUGAGUGAUGAAGGUCUUCGGAUCGUAAAACUCUGUUAUUAGGGAAGAACAUAUGUGUAAGUAACUGUGCACAUCUUGACGGUACCUAAUCAGAAAGCCACGGCUAACUACGUG
rnacentral:rRNA from 1 species